AGUGAACGCUGGCGGUAGGCCUAACACAUGCAAGUCGAACGGCAGCACAGUAAGAGCUUGCUCUUACGGGUGGCGAGUGGCGGACGGGUGAGGAAUACAUCGGAAUCUACUUUUUCGUGGGGGAUAACGUAGGGAAACUUACGCUAAUACCGCAUACGACCUACGGGUGAAAGCAGGGGAUCUUCGGACCUUGCGCGAUUGAAUGAGCCGAUGUCGGAUUAGCUAGUUGGCGGGGUAAAGGCCCACCAAGGCGACGAUCCGUAGCUGGUCCGAGAGGAUGAUCAGCCACACUGGAACUGAGACACGGUCCAGACUCCUACGGGAGGCAGCAGUGGGGAAUAUUGGACAAUGGGCGCAAGCCUGAUCCAGCCAUACCGCGUGGGUGAAGAAGGCCUUCGGGUUGUAAAGCCCUUUGUUGGGAAAGAAAAGCAGCAGGUUAAUACCCCGCUGUUCUGACGGUACCCAAAGAAUAAGCACCGGCUAACUUCGUG
rnacentral:rRNA from 1 species